AGGGCAGACGGUGGAUGCCUAGGCUCUCGGAGGCGAAGAAGGACGUGAUAAGCUGCGAAAAGCUACGGUAAGGUGCAAAUAACCCUUGACCCGUAGAUGUCCGAAUGGGGCAACCCGGCAGGUUGAAGGCCUGUCAUCCUUUAUAAGGAGGCGAACGUGGGGAACUGAAACAUCUAAGUACCCAUAGGAAAAUAAAACAAAAGUGAUUCCGUAAGUAGUGGCGAGCGAACGCGGAACAGCCCAAACCGUAUAUGUGUUUGCAUAUACGGGGUUGUAGGACCACGAUGUGGACUAAGAUAUUGAAGUGGAACCGUAUGGAAAUUCGGAUCAGAGAAGGUGAUAAUCCUGUACACGACUUGAUAUCUUUACCUAGUGGUAUCCUGAGUAGCGCGGGGCACGAGAAAUCCUGUGUGAAUCAGCGGGGCCCAUCCCGCAAGGCUAAAUACUCCCGAGAGACCGAUAGCGAACCAGUACCGUGAGGGAAAGGUGAAAAGAACCUCGAACAGAGGAGUGCAAUAGAUCCUGAAACCGUCUGCUUACAAGCGGUCGGAGCAAAUUUAAUUUGUGACGGCGUGCCUUUUGCAUAAUGAACCUACGAGUUACUUUCACUGGCAAGGUUAAUUGGUUCAGCCAAGGAGCCGAAGCGAAAGCGAGUCUUAACAGGGCGAUUCUUAGUCAGUGGGAGUAGACGCGAAACCAAGUGAUCUACCCAUGUGCAGGUUGAAGGUUGGGUAACACCAACUGGAGGACCGAACCGGUAAAUGUUGAAAAAUUUUCGGAUGACAUGUGGGUAGGGGUGAAAGGCUAAUCAAACUUGGAGAUAGCUCGUACUCCCCGAAAUGCAUUUAGGUGCAGCCUUGGUAAUUUUUUUGUAUGAGGUAGAGCGACUGAUUGGAUGCGAGGGCUUCGCCGCCUAUCAAGUCCAGACAAACUCCGAAUGCGUACAAAAUUAAACCAGGAGUGAGGGCAUGGGUGCUAAGGUCCAUGUCCGAGAGGAGAAGAAUCCAGACCAUCAGCUAAGGUCCCGAAAUAUAUGUUAAGUUGAACUAACGAAGUCCGGUUACAGCGACAGCUAGGAUGUUGGCUUGGAAGCAGCCAUUCAUUUAAAGAGUGCGUAACAGCUCACUAGUCGAGUGACUGGGCGUGGAUAAUACUCGGGCAUAAACAUAUUACCGAAGCUGUGGAAUCAUGUAUUUUUACAUGAUUGGUAGGGGAGCAUUCCAAACUUGCGUAGAAGGUUUAUGGUGAUGUAAGCUGGAGCAUUUGGAAAAGCAAAUGUAGGUAUAAGUAACGAUAAUGAGGGCGGGAAACCCUCACGCCGAAAGACCAAGGUUUCCUGAUCAACGUUAAUCGGAUCAGGGUAAGUCGGGCCCUAAGGAUAAGCCGAACGGCGAUGCCGAUGGAAGAAACGGUUAAUAUUCCGUUACUACUUUAUAGAGAGACGCGGGGACGGAGAAGUGAAACUCCUGCCAUCUGACGGAAUAGAUGGUUAAAGGGUGUAGAUGUUGAUAUUGCCAGGCAAAUCCGGUGAUAGAGUCGAACCUGAUAGUACUUGGCGUGCAUGCACAAAGAGAUAUGGAGGUAAACAGGCUCCCAAGAAAAUCCGCUAUCGUUAAUUUAUAAAGUACCCGUACUGAAAACCGACACAGGUGGUUGAGUAGAAUAUACUAAGGCGCUCGAGAGACUCAUGGUUAAGGAAUUAGGCAAAAUGGUCCUGUAACUUCGGGAUAAAGGACACCUACCCAGUGAUGGGAGGUCGCAGAGAAUAGGUCCAGGCGACUGUUUAUCAAAAACACAUGGCUAUGCAAAAUAGAAAUAUGAGGUAUAUAGCCUGACACCUGCCCGGUGCUGGAAGGUUAAGAGGAGAUGUCAUCUUCGGAGAAGCAUUGAAUUGAAGCCCCAGUAAACGGCGGCCGUAACUAUAACGGUCCUAAGGUAGCGAAAUUCCUUGUCGGGUAAGUUCCGACCUGCACGAAUGGUGUAACGAUCUGGACACUGUCUCAACCAUGAACUCGGNUGGUAAUCGUGUGUAGAGUGUAAUGGCAUAAGGGUGCUUGACUGUGAGACUUACAAGUCGAUCAGGUACGAAAGUAGGGCAUAGUGAUCCGGUGGUUCCGCAUGGAAGGGCCAUCGCUCAAAGGAUAAAAGGUACUCCGGGGAUAACAGGCUAGUCUCCCCCAAGAGCUCACAUCGACGGGGAGGUUCGGCACCUCGAUGUCGGCUCGUCACAUCCUGGGGCUGGAGAAGGUCCCAAGGGUUGGGCUGUUCGCCCAUUAAAGUGGCACGCGAGCUGGGUUCAGAACGUCGUGAGACAGUUCGGUCUCUAUCUGUUGUGGGCGCAGGAUAUUUGCGGGGAUCUGACACUAGUACGAGAGGACCGUGUUGGACAGACCACUGGUCUACCGGUUGUACCGCCAGGUGCAUUGCCGGGUAGCUAAGUCUGGAAUAGGAUAAGUGCUGAAAGCAUCUAAGUACGAAGCCGACCCCAAGAUUAGAUAUCCCUUAAGGGUGGUUGUAGACUACGACCUUGAUAGGCUGCAGGUGCAGAGGCAGUAAUGUCUAUAGCCGAGCAGUACUAAUAACCCGAGACUUUAUUAU
rnacentral:rRNA from 1 species